CAGCAGCCGCGGUAAUACGUAGGGGGCGAGCGUUGUCCGGAAUUACUGGGCGUAAAGGGUGCGUAGGCGGGUAUGCAAGUCCGGUGUGAAAUGCUUCGGCUCAACCGAGGAGUUGCAUUGGAAACUGCGUAUCUAGAGUACAGGAGAGGGAAGCGGAAUUCCUAGUGUAGCGGUGAAAUGCGUAGAUAUUAGGAGGAACACCAGUGGCGAAGGCGGCUUCCUGGACUGAUACUGACGCUGAGGCACGAAAGCUGGGGUAGCGAACAGGAUUAGAUACCCUGGUAGUCCCAGCCAUAAACGAUGGGUACUAGGUGUUGUCACUUCAUUGUGGCAGUGCCGCAGUUAACGCAUUAAGUACCCCGCCUGGGGAGUACGGCCGCAAGGCUGAAACUCAAAGGAAUUGACGGGGGCCCGCACAAGCGGUGGAGCAUGUGGUUUAAUUCGAAGCAACGCGAAGAACCUUACCAGGUCUUGACAUCCCUCUGACCGGUAUAGAGAUAUACCUUCUUUUCGGAGCAGAGGAGACAGGAGGUGCAUGGCC
rnacentral:rRNA from 1 species